UACGUAGGAUCCAAGCAUUACCCGGAAUUACUGGGCGUAAAGAGUUGCGUAGGUGGUCUGUUAAGCAGAGUUUGAAAUUGUGUGGCUCAACCAUACCCCCAAAUUCUGAACUGAUAGACUUGAGCAUGAGAGAGGUAACUGGAAUUCCCGGUGUAGGAGUGAAAUCCGUAGAUAUCGGGAGGAACACCGAUGGCGUAGGCAGGUUACUGGCUCAUUGCUGACACUCAGGCACGAAAGCGUGGGGAGCGAACUGG
rnacentral:rRNA from 1 species